GCGCGCGUGGCGGAAUUGGUAGACGCGCAUGAUUCAGGUUCAUGUGGGCGCAAGCCCGUGGAGGUUCGAUUCCUCUCGCGCGCACCA
rnacentral:tRNA from 1 species